AACUUUCAAUAACGGAUCUCUUAAUUCUAAUAUCGAUAAAGAAUAUAGCGAAAUAUAAUAAGUAAUAUAAAUUAUAAAAUUUAAUAAAUUAUUGAAUUUUUAAACGUAUAUUAUAUUCGUUAAUAUUCUAGCGAAUAUACCUAUUUGAACAUUA
rfam:Neurospora crassa OR74A unplaced genomic scaffold supercont12.8, whole genome shotgun sequence.